rnacentral:rRNA from 1 species
AACGAACGCUGGCGGCAGGCUUAACACAUGCAAGUCGAACGGUUGUAGCAAUACAGCAGUGGCGCACGGGUGAGUAACGCGUGGAUAUCUGCCUUUUGGUUCGGAAUAACUCCGGGAAACUGGAGCUAAUACCGGAUGGUUCCUACGGGAUAAAGAUUUAUCGCCAAAAGAUGAGUCCGCGUACGAUUAGCUAGUUGGCGGGGUAAUGGCCCACCAAGGCGAUGAUCGUUAGCUGGUCUGAGAGGACGAUCAGCCACACUGGGACUGAGACACGGCCCAGACUCCUACGGGAGGCAGCAGUGGGGAAUAUUGGACAAUGGGGGCAACCCUGAUCCAGCCAUGCCGCGUGAGUGAUGAAGGCCUUCGGGUUGUAAAGCUCUUUUGGCGGGGACGAUGAUGACGGUACCCGCAGAAUAAGCCCCGGCUAACUUCGUGCCAGCCGCCGCCGUAAGAC